GAGGAGAGGGCGCGUUAGUGAGCAGCGACUGUGGCAUUGAUGUUUGAGCAUACUUCUGAACUGGCUUUUGUUGAGACUAUCAGUAUAGAAGCAUGCGCUGUCCCAAAUCCGCUGUUACUAUGAGAAAUGAAGAGCUGCUUUUAAGCUUCUUGGCCUCAGCUCCCCUUCCCCGCUCAGCACCCUGUUAGGAUCAGUGUGUGUGGAUGGGAUAGCCCUGGGAUGGAAAGGACUAGCCUCUACUGAUGCAAAAAAACAAAAAGCAACACAAACGUUUCCUUCUUAUAGCACAUGCACUUCCUUACAAUGACAUGAUUUGUAUUAUCCUCACAUGUGUUUACUACUGCUGGGGCCUUCCUUCAUCCUCUGAGGGCUAUUUUGUACUUUCUGCAGCAAUCAGCUUAAUAACAACACUUAUUGCACCUGUCUCUCUCUGAGAACACGGUGUGUCUCGACACGUACCACGUACGUGGAAACACAAGAGCCCACCACUUGAAUUUCUAAGACCAUUUCAUUCUGAAACUUCUUAUCAAUUACCUAAAUCUCAACGAAAAACAAUUUACUGAAGCCGACUCCCCUCCCCAUCUCCCUCUCAACCUCAACCCACCUGCAUGCAUCUCCCCCAGAGGAAACACUGAGGGUAGGGGACAGGAGGCUCAGGACGCGCCCUCUGAAUCGAGUGUUUCUUCUUCACAAGUCACCAAGAGAGGACAUGAGGGGGAAAGUCCUUUUUGCCCUUCUCCAAAAAAUAACCUUCCACAGAGACAAACUGUCCUUCUAUCCACUUUUAUCUUUUAAUAAAUAUCAAAAGGAAAAAGCUGCAAGGGUGCAAAGGGCCUGUGCCAGAAGAAAACACACACAGGGAAACCGCUUUUUUUAAUCAAUUGUAGAGAAUAGUCAUUUUUAAUCUAAAUUAGAGAAUUGUGAUACAAUGGCAGUCCUCAAAGGCGUAACGAGUUCAUCUUUCUUUCACCAUAGGGGUUAUAGUUGGCUUGUGCUACUCUGGAAUCAUUUUACUGUUUGUUUUUAUUAUCUUAAGUGCUAAUUAAAAAAAAAAUAAAAUUUUAAAAAAACCUGUAGUUUCAUUACCUUUUUGAAUAAUGUCAUACAAAAAAUGUAUUUGUUUUUUUGUGCUGUGAGAAUUGAUGUUUGUAGAUUAAUAAUCAUUUUGUUUAGAAUUACAAAAUAGUUUUUAAAUAUUGUCUGAGAAAAGCCAAAGUUAAUGCAACCUAGUGGAAACUGUAAGACCAUUUGAGUAUUGUUUGUUUUAUUGAUGCAUUUGGAUUUUGUUGUUUGAUGGAAUUUGAGCCAAAAAAAAAAUACGCAGGCUUUCCUAUUUCUACAACUGAUUGUACUUAUGCAUUUUGUACCAGUGGAACUUUUUAUACUGGAGAUUAAAAAAAAAAUGGAAAUUUUUGUGGCUUGCUCUGGUGGGCCCCUGACAAUGACUGAUUUCAAGUUUGAUUUCGGGUUGAUUGAUUGAUUGAUUGAUAGAAAGAAAGUUGCUUUUCUUUUGAGAAUUAAAAACUUUGGCUUGAUUUCUUUUUUCCCUUUGCUUAUAUCUAGCAUUAGAAUUUUGUCUUAAAAUAACAGCGGUAAGUUUCACUUUUUAUUCUGUAUUGUGCAGUUACACAAUAAGGUAAUUAGAUUUAGAAGUACUCAGUCACUUUAAGUGGAUAAAUGUAUUAGUUAAAACUUUAGGGUUUGCUUUUUUGCUGUUUAGAUCAAAGUUUUUUCUGAUUCUUCUGUCCUCAUUGUGAACAUAACCGUGUAGUUGAAACAGUCAAACUUAUUUUUGUAAUGUAUGUUAUUGUGUGAUGCAGUUUUUUGCUUCUGUCUCCAAUAUUAAACCAUUUUCCUAAUACUUGUUUCUCUCUCUGCGUGUUGUAUUGUUGGUAGUCAUUAUAUGUUGGUGAUACAUCUGCACACCUCACUGUUUCACGUAUCUGUUUUUUUCUCUAUGUUGUGUAAAAAGAUACAGUCGAUUCCACUUAAGUGAAUAUCUGAUUUGGGGAAGAGGAAACUGCACAGCAGCCACCUUUGAUUUAUGUACAACCGCCCACUUGAACUCCUGCUUCCAAGAUUUAUACACUUUUUUCCUACAGUUCACCUCAGUAACUGCCUUUGGGGUUGGAUUUGCCAAGGUGUUUUACGGUCUUUUGACCACACAGGUUAAUUUCCCCUUCUCUCCCCUCCCUCAUGAGUCUAUCCACGCAGUUCUUAACAUACAUUCCAAACUGCUGCGGGGUUUCCUCUCCACACCCACGAGGCCAAACCCGCAUCAUUACAGUCCAACUCUUCUUAGACACUAAUCACUUUCUAAAAGAAGUGAGUUCUCCAGGGAAGAAAAAUCAACUUAGCCAGUGAAAAGGGUUAAACUUAAGUCUAUUAUUUGUUGCCCUCAAUCAAAAGAUAUGUAUAGAAAAGUCAUUUAAAUUAUUUAUUUCUACAAGCUAAUUGAAUCCAGGAGCAGCUUUAAUUAUUAACACUAACGGAAGAGAAAAGAAGUAUUUCCAAGGGCUCAAAUGGAAGCUGUACUCAGUCCGGUGGAGGCAGGGGGAGGUAAAGUUUCUCACACUCAAGUCGUCUUCAUAGUUUACUGUCCUUUUCCAAACAAAAGCUAAUAACGCCAUACGCAUCCACACACUCCCUCCUGGAUGAACCUAAGUCUCGUCCCCACUGUCACCCCAAGGCCAGUUAUCAAAAACUGUUCCUUCUCUGCCCUCAAAGACUGAAGCCGCAGGCCCUGUUCUGCCUCUGCUCAGGAAUCUGAUUGCUCUUAAAGUGCUCUUACAAGAUUCCGUCGAUGUUUGCUCCCUCUGUCUUAUCUCUCCUUCCAGUAUUUUCAGACGCACAAGCUCUGACUCAGGCCACCCAGCACCUGGCAGCCUUCCUCUGCGUGCCAGUGAAAUCUCUCCCAGUAGGUGCUCAGGCUCUUCACCCUCUCGUUGCAGCAGCCCCUCUGGCCCGAGAUUGUAUUUUCUAGUCUGCUCAAGAACAGAGGGGCCUGGCGAGGUGGAGGAAGGGAGGCUCCCUCCCCGGGGCUGGCCGCCUCAGUGAUGGUGAUGCCACCAGCUCCAGCCUGCACGGAUGGAGCUCACUUCCUACCAUCACUUCUGCUUUCAGUCUCCUCAUAGCCUUCGGCAGUCUCCUCUGAAAACACACUGCCUACGUUAGUGGGAAAGGAUGGCUAAGGGUGUGAUUUCUUUUUAUUAGGGAGGUGGGAGGGGGAUGUUGGGAGGCAUGGGGGGUGAUUAAAUUAUCAUUUCCAAGGUGCAAGUGUUUAUUUUUCAAAUCUAUAAGUACAUAGUUCCACCAUUUUGGCACAAGACAAAAUACUCAUGCUAAGCAAAGGAAGAGAAAGACAAAGCCAGUUUUUGUUGCUUUUCUAAAGCAACAAAUAAUUCUCCAAAGAAGGGGAUGAAAAUGCUAGUUCCUUUAAGCACUUACUGACUGUAAAGUUGGUCCCUGCUUAAAUUCAUACCCAUAGUUUUGAGUCGGUAUGACACCACUGCAGUGUGAGCAAGGUGAAUCCGUGUGCCAUGCAUGGACCACCUUGGGAUACCGCAGCACCAUCAACAUCCGCCUUGCUGAUGGAAGCCACACACGCUGCCCAGCCCACAGCAGUCGCACGCAGCCGAUGGGCUCGGACUCUUAGCUGGCAGGCUAGGACACACAGUGAACAUUAAUGUACUGUGAAUCGUUCCUGAUAAGUGAAUAAAACAUUGUGACCAAACAAUCAGCUUAUUCACUUAUCAGGAAUCGACUGUUCUGCUAAUUUGCUGUUGUUGUUUUUCAUCUCUGUUGUAGUUCACUAUUUUUGCUGUGUUCUGUUUUCUCCUCUCAUGCUUGGGCAAAUCACUGGGAAUAUUAUCUUCAUGUGACCAUGAAACGUUUCUAUUGAGUGAAAAUGAUAUCUUAACAAAAUCUAUGCACUUGCUAUCAGGAACACAAUACUGGAUGUGUCUUAUAUAUAUUGAACUAUAUAGUACUCGAUUUCUUAAAUAAAGCUUAAGAAAGGACUCUGUUGUGUGUAAAGUUAAUGUGAUUAUUUUUCAAAGCAGUGUUUCUAAGGGGUAUUUUUGUUCUUUUAAGUCUUGAGUGAUACAGGAUAUUUUUCAUUAAAAUUAUAUCACUGGCUUUAUGACUUAAUAUUCAAUAAAUUGACUUUGGAAAC
rnacentral:lncRNA from 1 species